rnacentral:rRNA from 1 species
GUCCCCAAGUGUGUGUUAAGUGGGAAAGGAUGUGGAGUUGCAAAGACAACCAGGAUGUUGGCUUAGAAGCAGCCAUCAUUUAAAGAGUGCGUAAUAGCUCACUGGUCGAGUGACUCUGCGCCGAAAAUGUAACGGGGCUAAACACACCACCGAAGCUAUGACAUGUACCAUUAGGUACUUGGGUAGGGGAGCGUUGAAUACGGGUAGAAGUUGGACCGUGAGGACUGGUGGACUGUAUUCAAG